GUCCAAAUUAGGUUGCGCUCUUAAGCAAUUGAGUGAAAUGAUAAUUUAAUUUUGAAAUUCCAUUCUCUAAACAUGUUUCCACUUAACCACUUUUGACUUUGAUGCAUGAGAAUUUAUGAGCAAGAUAUGUGACAUAGUUGAGAAUUGAAAAGUACUUCAAGAACACGAAGCAUGGCAUCAGAAACCAUACUUAUAUACAUAUGGAAAUAGUUCUGGGAAAGAUGGUGGACAUUAACAGUACGGAUAAAUGCUAGGCAAGAGGAAAUCAUGGAUUGAAAUUAUAGUUGCGGAUGUGGUUAUAUUGAGUUUAUCGCAAUUGCAGAAGAUAUAGUCAAUGUCAUCACAAUUCCAAUUGAAAUGCACUUGCCCAGACUCCUUCAAUAUCAAUGUUGCAACCGCUAUUACUUUUGCGGUACUGCUAUUUAAAACCAUGCAGGAUAUAAUAUAUCACAUUGAAUCUCAUUGUGAGACAUGAAUUCAUUCUUAAAGCAGGAAUUCAAGGUUUCUCAUAUCAUUCUUGUAUUCACUGAAUUUAAGUUCUUUAUCUAUAAUUCUUAAGUUCUCUUUUCACAUUUAAAGCUUUUCUGAUUUCUGUGAUUGAUAAAACCAAGAGAGAUACCAUUUCUUUGUUAAACUACUACAUGCUAUAUAUUGAUCAAAGUUCUUAACUCUUUGUUUGUCAUGUACCAUUUUGCAGGCAACAUAUUAGACACAACCAUUAAUUAAGAUCUAAAGUAUUUGAGACAAGAAUGGUAUUAUAAGUUUAUAAAUGUUACAUAUGGAAUUCAAGAGAAGUGCUGCUAAAAUAUGGUAGUGGGUGAUUUAAACUUAUCCCCAUUUGUAUGUCUCUAUACUUGUGAAUGAGUGAACUUACAUACCCAUCUUUGGUUAAAAAUGAAUGUGUUAGAGAGAAUAGCAAUAGUACCUUUUUCGAAAAUGAUGGUUUGGUUAUUGCCUUAAGUGAUUCUGAUUCUGUCAUGUGAAAUAAAAGACAUUUAAAAGUCCUAAGUAAAAGGG